UUGUCUUAAUUCUUCUUUCGUAGUUGCGGAUGCUUGCGGGAGGGGUUAAUCAUAAGUGGGAUGCUUGUCCAAGUAAGGGCCGUACCCAAGUGCUGGUCCACCCACAUAUCAAACUAUCAAAGUAACGAACGCGAAUCAUAUGAACAUGAUUAAACUAGCAUGACAGAAAUUCCCGUGUGUCCUCGGGAGCGUUUUUCCUCCUAUGAGACUUUGUCCAGGCUUGUCCCUUGCUACAAAAGGGAUUGGGCCACUUUGCUGCAUCGUUGCUACUUUUGUUACUUGUUGCUUGCUACGAAUCAUCUCACCAC
rnacentral:lncRNA from 1 species